AGGAUGUCUAUCUCCUGCCGGACCUCCGCCUUCACAAUCUCCAACACAUUGUGGAAGGCUUCUUGAGGGGACAGCCGAGUCACCUCAUCGUUCGGCCCUGCUGGGAUAUCAUAAGAGAUGGAGUACUAUUGUGUGGAGAAAGCCGCCGAGCCUCACCGAGCAGGCGUCCUUGCCCUCAAUGCCACCGGCACACAGGAAAGAGUUGCUAUCCAACACGAAAUCUUCUCCUAGUCGUGUCCUUCUCAGGCGACUCUGGCAGGUGAAUCGCUCCACAAUGGGGACGUCCACCUCCUUCAGGAUGCUUUGGAAUCGGCCACUUUCGAAGUUGUCUUUUCCCCAUCCUGACACGAAGCACCUGCAGGGGAAAGAAUUCGUCAGAGUGGCGUUUCCUGACCCGUAGUCCUUCAGUGUGUCGAAGGUGAAUUCCUCCAACUAGUCAGUCAUGAACUGCCUCCUAGUCAAGUCUCCUGUUCAGGACCAGGCAGAAAGGAAAACGACUGAGAAACUUCAUUAGGAACCACCAAUAUCUACAAGCCCGUGCCUUUACGUAGAACACCUGCAUGCAGUGAAAGACUACUCAAUAUUGCUGCUAUGUAUUGCAGCAUCAUCAGGUCAGCAAACACUGGUUAUAUCAUCUGAUGGUUGGUGUUAAAGGAAUCCAACAUCACAAAUCUGAGUGGACUUAAUGCAUGAUGAAGCAAAGCACCACUGCUGCAGAACGCAUCCACCAUCCAUCAAGCAACAUGGCCUUGUCUGUGCCAUGGUGACGACCAAUACUCAAGGUCUCCAGAAGGGGAUCCAGCCAGACCACACUGCCACACCAUACAUC